ensembl:snoRNA
AUACUAUGCUUAAGGUCCUUUCAAAUGUCUGACCUGAGAUGAACUUGUAGACAAAGUUAACACUGAAGAA